UACGUAGGGGGCUAGCGUUGUCCGGAAUCAUUGGGCGUAAAGAGCGUGUAGGCGGCCCGGUAAGUCCGCUGUGAAAGUCGGGGGCUCAACCCUCGAAAGCCGGUGGAUACUGUCGGGCUAGAGUGCGGAAGAGGCGAGUGGAAUUCCUGGUGUAGCGGUGAAAUGCGCAGAUAUCAGGAAGAACACCCGUGGCGAAGGCGGCUCUCUGGAACGCAACUGACGCUGAGACGCGAAAGCGUGGGGAGCAAACAGG
rnacentral:rRNA from 1 species